rnacentral:misc_RNA from 1 species
CUUAAUCCACUAAUUGUAGCUUCAAGCUGAGAAACCUCAAUGGCAAUCUCGUAAUUCCUCUGCUCCAUCUGUUCUCUUGCUUCAUUUCUAGAUUUUGCCGUCGCAUCAAUCUGCCUAAGGAGCUCCUCAACGAUCUCAUUUGUCCUCUUAAUAACCCCAUAAGCAACAGCCGGCAAUCCAAUGUAUUUCUGCGACCUAGGCAACC